GGAAGUGCGAGUUCUUUUUAACGUUUUUAAUUUUAAAUGUUAAUUGUUAUAGAUUUUCAUUUUAUUUAUGGCCCUGUUUGUUUUUGCUCCCUCAAGGUCGAGGAAAAAGGCGGAAAAAUACUAUGGGGCUUUCAUUCUGGGAGCAAUGUUGGUGGCAGGGACCUUGAUCCCGAUCAAGAUGGGGACGCUCGCGCUUAUGAGUGGAAAAGCGUUGAUGACCAGCAUGCUAGCCCUCACCCUUGCAGGAAUUGUAGCUGUCAAGAAGCUCAGCGAACAACCGCCAAAACCCCCUGGGACGACAACAUACGAGGUAAUCAACGUCCCUGCAGGAGGGGGUGGUCACGGACAUCACGGACGAAGUUUGCCGCUCUCGACGAUACCACCGGAGAUCCUCGAAUCCGCACAUCUGCCCAAGAUCGUCAGCCCUCACUCGGAUACCGGUCCUUACUCUGCCUAUAAAUCUUACGUUUACAAUGACUCAGUCACAUGGAAUCCGACUAUGUGUCAUGAUAUUUGAUUCCGAGUCCAGCUAAUUUGAACCGUGCAAAUUUUAAGUUUAAAUUUAAUUUUCAAUUUUUAAACGUACUGAUAAUUUUUGAAACAGAUGCCCGUGUGCUCCCCACUUUGAAAAAUGUUCUUUUCUGGAGUCAGCUCUAAAAUCAAUUGUCUUGUAGAUGGAGUCCAAUGAAAUUCCAAAAUAGUUGUCUUUCUUCUUCUUUUUGUGUGUCGCACUAGGCAGUUUUAAAUUUUGGCAGUGAAGGUAUUUUAGAGUUAAUUGAGUUGAAAUAUAACUAGAAAUGCCUUAAAAGUAGAAUCAAAGUUGGAUGUAUUCAAAUAGAAAAGAAUGAUCUUUAUUGAGAUAUGAACUCUACAACGGUGUAUUUUUAAUAGUAUAAGGCUCAGGUCACAGUUAAGACGGUUUCAAAUGAUUUUAAUACAUCCAGGACGUGUUGCAAUCAAAACGAAUUAUCUCUAUUGCAACAUGAACCCUGUCAUGCAUUUACUCGUAUGAGUAUCAGGGUCCACAAUCAUAAUAGAGAUUGAUAACUGAAACUAUAACGUGAUUAUUUUUAUGAAAAACUCCUUGAUACCUUGAUGUUCAAUUGUUUUUGAUAGAGGUAAGGCUGUAAAUAAAAUUUUAUAAUGCAUCAUCAGAUAAUUAUUUUAUUAAAACAAUUUGUGAAAUCUUUCAAAAUGUAUUAUUUACAUUUCAUUACGGAAAUAGUUGUUGACAUGAUUGAUGUUGUUUCUUAGCUCAAACAAACCCCCUUAAAAUGUUUUCUUAAGUCUCACAAAAUUGAUCAAAUGUCGGAGACAGCUCGCAAACUUUGUAAAAUUUUCAGUAUAAGUUAACAAUUGCAAUCAAGCCUUCAAAGUUACGCGGUACCAAGUGUGCACAAAUUUUACAAAAUUGUAAAAAAAGACCCGCACUGUAAGCAAACCUUGCAGCGGAGAAUGCCAGUGUAGAACUAUUAUACAUAAAAGUGCAAAAGUUAAAAGUCUCAAUUGUGCGACAUUUGCGUGAUAUGUACAAACAUUAUGCGAAAGAAAAAAAAAGUUUGUUACUUUUAUCCGAACAGUUGCAUUAAUUGUGAUAAGUAUGAAUGAAUUACUUGCGUUUGUGUAUAAGCUAGGAAUGUCGUCGUUUCCUUAUACAGCUUUUUUCCAUAGGGAGUCUCAUUAUGUUUUAACUUGUGAUUAAGAGGUAUCAGGAAGUCCUUAACAUAGCAUCGUAGGAAGGAUAAUUUUAAAGAAUCUCGAGUAAAAUUCAAUGACAUAAGUUUAGACUGAAACACUCGAAGGAGUUUACAAUGAUUUUCCUCUAUAAAAUAAAUAUACACACGAAAAAAUCCUCCAUGUUUUGAAAAUCUUGUUAGGUUCACACCUACCUUAAAGCUUGUCGAUGUCAUAACAUAUUUUCUUCCAGUGUAAUAUUUUGCAGUGGAAAAUCCUUAGCACCCUUUGCAGAGAUCUAUUUUUAAAGUUAUUCCGUUGGAUUUUACUCGAAAUUUGUAAAAAUCGUCCUUUUGAUGGUGCUACAUUAAUGAUCUCCUAAAAUCUCCCGUAAUCUCAAUGUAAACCAUAUCGACGGUGAAACUACCAGACCACGUAUCUUUGUUUGCUAUGUUUAAAAUCACAGCUCCCAUUUUAUUUUUUUGAAGAAGAACAAAUCAAUUUCAUUUCUUGAAGUUUUCAAAUAGUUUUCUUCGAACAGAGAAGACAUGUCAUGGACGUUUUCAGGGAUUGUUGUUGAGUAGUUUUUUUAUUUAAAAAAUAAAAUAGGACAAGAAGUCUGCAACGUUGCAAAUAACCGACGUACGUGGUCUGGUAGUUGCACUGUCGAUAUUAAGCCUCCCACUGAAAGGAACUGUUGAAUUAAUGAACAUGAAUUCAGCCCUAAGUGUAAGCAGGUGCUCAAUGAUGAUGUGCUGGGACGUUGAUGACUUCGUAGGUGGUGGCGCCAUGGAGGGCGGCCGAGCCCCCUUUUCGGUUCGAAAGGGCGGCCAGUGUAAGGGCGAUUAAGCUCGUCAUCAAAGCUUUCCCCGAAAGCAUGGCCAACGAGGCGAUCGUCAUCAUAAGUCCAGCCAGUAAACAACCCGCCAGCAUAGAGUGGCCCUUGUCUUUCUUGCCUCUGCCUGCAUAACAGGACAAUUAAUUCACUUAGUAUAGUAGUGAUAGACCUUAGUGCCAAAAAUCCCAAAAUUAAGGUAUGCUAUUUUGCCGUGCUAAGCAAGAGCGCCGUAAAUCCAUCAAUAUUUUCCCGCGUUUUUUGGAACUUAACACUUUAUAAAAUAAAAAUCGUUUUACCCAUGCACCUCAAAUUUUUAAGUUAAGUUCUUGAUAGUAAUUGCGAAAUAAUUCUGUAAAAACAUUGUUUCAAGUUACACAUGUUUUUCUGCUAUGAUGCAUUGUUUCCAAAAAAAUUUAAAAUGACGUUUACGGCGUUUUUGCGUUGCACGGCAAUAUUGCUUAAAGUAGCGUUUGCCAAAAUACAAACGUCAUAUAAAAUAAACUAACCGCCCAAAAUGCCAAAACGAAAUCGACGUUAUAAUGGCUUUACGUUUUCAGUCGGAAAUAUUUGUUUUAACGAAAAUUGAUUGAAAGUUGUAUGAUCUGCCCUAUUCAAAACUCAAAAUUGUAAGAUUAAAAUGUAACUCUGCGCCCUUUAUUUAUGCAAGAAUGAACUAUGUCACUCGCAACAUGUUCUUCCGGAUACUUCAAGAUGUUCUUUAUUGAAACUUGGACAUCCGAAUUUUCAAUUGCAUCUGAAGAAAAUCGCUAUCCUAUAAGAUUCACAUCCGCUCGCUAAUAUUUAUUUUUGCAAAUAUUGAGCAACAUACGAUGAUCAUACGUCUCAUGACAAUUUAUCGCAAAAAAAAAAAAAUAUUGCUCCCCUGAAAAUUUCAAAAUUUAACUCAUAAGUGCCAGACUUCAAUUUAUUAUGAGCGUGAAUUCAGAAUUCUCUCUCACCAACCAAAUUCAAUUUGAGUUGAAAUUGAAUGAAUUUCAGUACUCUUCAAGAUGAAGUUAUUUUCUCAAGCUUCAAUUUUUUUUUUUGAAAAAUGAAUAUCCAUAUCAGAAAAUAUGUAUAGAAUAGACUUGAAUUUUUUGUCAAACACAUUAAUUCGUUUACAAAGGCAGAAAUCUGGUUUGAUUUAGGUUCCUUUUUUUUCAAUAAACGGUUUAAACUGACUAUGUUUUGAUGUAAACAUUUAAUGCCAGUUACUCAUUAAUGCGUUGAUUUUAGAAAUUAUCAAUAUCGUUCAUUAUUUUAACAAAGAGGGUUUUUCUGCCUUCAUUUAAAGAGGUAGGCAAAGGUGGGUUCACAAAUGUUGCAAUCAAUAGUAUCCUUUCACACAUUCGAUUUGGAAGAGGGAAGUUUUGCCUCUUUCUCAUGAAUCAGGCAAGAAUUUUCUCCAGUUCAAGAAGCUCGGGAAACCGGGAAACCACCGUACGUAGCUAAGUAAGGAUAUAAUAUUUAGUUAUUACAUCGCAUUACCAGUACAUGCAAGAUUCAACUAAUCCUCCCAUAAUUUUGUGAGUAUAAUAUUUCUAAAACUGUUUUAAUUGAUUCAAGCUUACAUAUUACCCGACAUAAAUGAUUAAAAAGGUAUUUUGCCACUUACCUUCAACUGCUGAGUUCCAGAGAGUUUCAGACCACAAAAUAGGAAUUCUAAGUUGCAACGAUCGAUUCUUGAAAAAAUCCAAGAGUAUCCUUGUGAAUGAUAAAUCUCUGUAUCGAAGUGAAAGUUUUCUUUCGCGAUUUUUGAAUAAUCUGGGUGUAAUUGCAAACGUAUUGUAGUCCUUUUGCUCAUUAGAAUUUUCUCUAAUCAGCUCCACUGAGUUACCUAGGAUCGGAAUAUUCUUUGCACUUUCUUCAACUUUAUAAAGAAUCGAUAUUGACUCAUUCUCUAAACAUGGCCAGAACAUGUUUGCUUUGUUAUCCGUGCAAUCACUAAAAGACUUCCAAACUUGAUUCACAGUACCUUCAAAAUCACAAGAAAAUGUUUUCAGCAAAGUCAGUUCGAAAAAAAUCAAAGAUAGCUUUUUUCCCACAUUAAAGCGGCUCAUUUUGAUUGUCACUGUGUGUAUUUAAAACUUUAUUUUAAGCAAAUAAAAUUCACAGAAAAUAAUCACUUUAUUUUGUUGAAAAAUUUAUAAAGAAGGAACUCACAAAAAAUUUUAUUGCAGUCAUAAAUUUGUGGGAAUGUGUUAUUUAAAUGACAUAGUCGCGGGAGUUUUCACGUCAUAAGGCAGAAGUAAACCUGACACCUGACUUACCGCCUACGCCUAGAUAUUUCACAAUAACAAUA
rnacentral:lncRNA from 1 species